CGUUCGCGAACCCCGCCAGUGACCCGCGAACCUGCACAGACCACUCGGCGGCGUCUGCGGCCGUUGCAAAGGCGCCCACAAGCACUUCCGCUUUUCCUGGUGCCUCCCAGGCACCAUACUCCUACUGCGCAGGCCCAGUGCGUCGGUUCCGCGACACGCAAGUUGGUGUCUCCCGGCUAGAGCUCUGACUGUCUCCGAGGUGCCUCCAUCUUGACUACAGACACCGUACGGCAGCCGAGCUCGUGUGCUCUCAAGUGUUCUCGGGAAACAGGGCGGCGCCUAUAGUUCAGCUUUACCAAGGGCGCCGCCAUCUUGUUGGCUGGGCUAGUCCGUACAGUCACUACCUGUACGGCCGCUAUGUUUAGGCAAUAUGGUCGCGCCUACUGCGCGACUUCCAUGCUGACGCCGCCAUUUUGGAAUCGUACGCUCAGUAGCAGCGUCCUAAUCGGCCACCCAGAGGGCGCCGCCAUCUUGCCGGUGGAUUCUGGCGCCGGUAGCUGGUAUUGCCUAGAUGUCUGUAGGGAAGGGGAUCCUCUUUGGAUUAGUGUUCCUAAAGUAGUAGCUAAGUGUUCCUAAGAUAGCUCUUUCCACUCUUCAGUCGUUUUUCCUUUCCGCGUCUACUAAUGGACGUCCGUAUACUGUGUGCCUUAUGCUGGGAAGGAAAGCAGUCCCUUCGUUAUGCGUCCCACAUUACCUCUGACAGAGUACCGGGUACCUUCAGCAGCCGCCGCCUUGGCAGGAUGCCUCAAAUCGCAGAGACUAGUGAGGAGUGUUUCCAGAAGCGGCGUUCUGGUUGCCCCGGGCUACCCACUCUGCGCGGUUUGCACCUGGCCGGAAAAGGGCAGCGUGACCAUGGCAACGUAGGACGCCGAAACCAGCUACUUCCUCUCGGUUGAGGCUUCGAGAUUCUCUACUCCACCUCUCUGGAUAUUUUCCAGUUUCUGCUCGGAAGGCAAACUAUGUAGUAUGCCUUUCCUCUUGGAGAAGUUGAAGGCCAAAAUACAACUCUAAUUUAUACAGCUAGUUGUAUCUUAUAAUGGGAAUAAAGGGUUGGUUACAUGCCAUCUGAUCCUAAGAGUGCACAGUUCAGGCUUUCUUAGCACGUCGGGAAGACUUUUGUGAUUUUUGUUAUUUAUUGUACUGGCUUAAAAUGGGGGGAAGCAGGAGUGCCCCUCCAGAUCAGGCAAAGGAGAGCGAGGUUAUGGUAGUGGCCGUGGCCCCUCCGCUGCCUCCAGCAGCAGCCGCGGCCCCGCCCGCGCCGGGUCCCUUCUGCUGCCUGCUGCUGCCGCGGCUUUGGUAUCGGCUGCAGGGGCCCCAACCGGAGACCCCGGGCACUCCUAGAGCUCCUCAUCCCGCCAAGGAGCCCUGGAAGUCGAGUCCCGCGUGAGGUCCGUCCGCCCUCUGCAGUCGUCCAACCUCGGAACCCGUUCU
rnacentral:lncRNA from 1 species